rnacentral:rRNA from 1 species
GACGUAGGGCGCAAGCGUUGUCCGGAUUUAUUGGGCGUAAAGAGCUCGUAGGCGGCUUGUUGCGUCGUCCGUGAAAACCUGUGGCUCAACUACAGGCUUGCGGUCGAUACGGGCGGGCUGGAGUUCGGUAGGGGAGACUGGAAUUCCUGGUGUAGCGGUGAAAUGCGCAGAUAUCAGGAGGAACACCGGUGGCGAAGGCGGCAUCCUGGACCAUUACUGACGCUGAGGCGCGAAAGCUAGGGGAGCAAACGGG